UACGGAGGGUGCAAGCGUUAUCCGGAUUUACUGGGUUUAAAGGGUGCGUAGGUGGAUUUGUAAGUCAGAGGUGAAAUCUCCGAGCUUAACUCGGAAACUGCCUUUGAUACUAUAAGUCUUGAAUUAUCUGGAGGUAAGCGGAAUAUGUCAUGUAGCGGUGAAAUGCUUAGAUAUGACAUAGAACACCAAUUGCGAAGGCAGCUUACUGGGGAUAGAUUGACGCUGAGGCACGAAAGCGUGGGGAUCAGACAGG
rnacentral:rRNA from 1 species